rnacentral:misc_RNA from 1 species
GACGCCGAAGGUGGGGCUAAUGACUGGGGUGAAGUCGUAACAAGGUAGCCGUACCGGAAGGUGCGGCUGGAUCACCUCCUAACAGGGAGACAAAACUGAUUAUGUUGACUGAAUAAAUUGUUCAGACCGUAAUCCUGUCACCUUAGGUCGAUCGGUACCUCAGAUUGAGAGCCUUUGAUUAAAUAAUGAGAAUUCAUUCUUUGGCUAGGUUGUUAAUUUCAGUUCCUAAACUUGUCUAGGUCACACCCAACAAACUUUUCUUCUGGGCUAUUAGCUCAGGCGGUUAGAGCGCACCCCUGAUAAGGGUGAGGUCCCUGGUUCAAGUCCAGGAUGGCCCAUUCGUUGUUGGGGGUAUAGCUCAGUUGGUAGAGCGCCUGCUUUGCAAGCAGGAUGUCAGCGGUUCGAGUCCGCUUACCUCCACUGAACCACUGCCUAAUAACUCAAUUUUUGAAGAUAGUUAUUUGUUGAAAGUGACUUAGAAGUAGUUCAACUGAUUGAACCUAGCUUCAUAUCAUUCCUUGCUUUAACACUAUUAGG